rnacentral:rRNA from 1 species
UACGUAGGGUGCGAGCGUUGUCCGGAAUUAUUGGGCGUAAAGAGCUCGUAGGCGGUGUGUCGCGUCGGCCGUGAAAACCUGCAGCUUAACUGUGGGCUUGCGGUCGAUACGGGCAUCACUGGAGUUCGGCAGGGGAGACUGGAAUUCCUGGUGUAGCGGUGAAAUGCGCAGAUAUCAGGAGGAACACCGGUGGCGAAGGCGGGUCUCUGGGCCGAUACUGACGCUGAGGAGCGAAAGCGUGGGAGCGAACAGG